rnacentral:rRNA from 1 species
UACGUAGGGUCCGAGCGUUGUCCGGAAUUAUUGGGCGUAAAGGGCUCGUAGGCGGUUUGUCGCGUCUGCCGUGAAAGUCCGGGGCUCAACUCCGGAUCUGCGGUGGGUACGGGCAGACUAGAGUGAUGUAGGGGAGACUGGAAUUUACGGUGUAGCGGUGAAAUGCGUAGAUAUCGGGAGGAACACCUGUGGCGAAAGCGGCUCUCUGGACCGUAACUGACGCUGAGACACGAAAGCGUGGGGAGCAAACAGGG